AGGUCCAAAAUUGGGCAUAACCAUUCUUGCCAUCGAUUUCUGAAACCCCCAGCCAGCCUGCCAAUCUUAUACGAGGUAGACUUGCACAGAUCCCACUUUUUUCAGUCGAAAUGGACAUAAACACCCUCGCCCAGCAUGCCUUUGUCAAAAACCUAACAAAUUUCAGAGCUACGAGUUGGAGGAAGUGGACAUUUCACUUCUUUUGUAUCCAUGCCCUCCACAUCCAAGAGAUUCUCAUUACCCUUUGAAUCUAUGGUCCCUGGAUUCAUCUUCUGUACCUCCU
rnacentral:misc_RNA from 1 species